UAACAGGAUUAGAUACCCUGGUAGUCCACGCCGUAAACGAUGUCGACUUGGAGGUUGUUCCCUUGAGGAGUGGCUUCCGGAGCUAACGCGUUAAGUCGACCGCCUGGGGAGUACGGCCGCAAGGUUAAAACUCAAAUGAAUUGACGGGGGCCCGCACAAGCGGUGGAGCAUGUGGUUUAAUUCGAUGCAACGCGAAGAACCUUACCUACUCUUGACAUCCACGGAAUUCGGCAGAGAUGCCUUAGUGCCUUCGGGAACCGUGAGACAGGUGCUGCAUGGCUGUCGUCAGCUCGUGUUGUGAAAUGUUGGGUUAAGUCCCGCAACGAGCGCAACCCUUAUCCUUUGUUGCCAGCGAUUCGGUCGGGAACUCAAAGGAGACUGCCGGUGAUAAACCGGAGGAAGGUGGGGAUGACGUCAAGUCAUCAUGGCCCUUACGAGUAGGGCUACACACGUGCUACAAUGGCGCAUACAAAGAGAAGCGACCUCGCGAGAGCAAGCGGACCUCAUAAAGUGCGUCGUAGUCCGGAUCGGAGUCUGCAACUCGACUCCGUGAAGUCGGAAUCGCUAGUAAUCGUGGAUCAGAAUGCCACGGUGAAUACGUUCCCGGGCCUUGUACACACCGCCCGUCACACCAUGGGAGUGGGUUGCAAAAGAAGUAGGUAGCUUAACCUUCGGGAGGGCGCUUACCACUUUGUGAUUCAUGACUGGGGUGAAGUCGUAACAAGGUAACCAA
rnacentral:rRNA from 1 species